ACGCGAGCGCGAGCGCGGGGAAGGGCGAGGGGAGAGCGCGGGCGGGCCGAGCCGGCUUCGGCCAGUGGGCCAGAAGCGAGGCCGCGGCCUGCUUGCGCUCCCUUUUCCCUUUUCCAUUUUUUUUUUAAAUUUUUUUUUCUUAAAUCCUCUUCCAAAAGCAUUUUGACCAUUUUCAAAUCAUUUUCACCAUUUUCACCCAAAAGCAAAGUGGUGCCAAACUAAAAACUCUACAACUUUGCUUUAAUAGGUAAGACCAAAUUCUAAAUAGAAUUUGAAUUACCAAUUAAAACUUAGUUCUAGGUUUUUAAAUAAAGUUAUUUUGGAUAUUUUGUAUAAAUUCCAUUUCUCAAUUUCCAUAGCUCCAAAAAUUUGCACAAAAAUGUUCUUAAUUCUUCUUACACAUAAACCAACCUAGUUUGAAUAUUUCACAAUUUCUGAAGCAAGCACCACAUUUUUAACAUAUUUAAAACUUAUGAAAUGAAGCACAUCAAAUCAUAAUUUGAAAAGAGUGUCAUGCUCAUGAUGCUUAUGCUUGAUGGAAAUGCUUAUGCAUGGCUUUGGUGAGACUAAGUGCAUGCUUAACACCUAGGGUGUUACACGUCCUGCGUCUGAUUGUAUUGGAUUGUGUUCAGAGAUAAUGUGUCCUAAGGGGGGUCCCUUGCCCUCCUUAUAUAGUCCGGAGGGCAGGGUUACAGAUCUAGAAACUAAUCCCAGUCGGUUACAAUUGCCAUAGAUAGUUUGAUAUCAAUUCCUAUUCUAACCGACUAGAAUCCGGCUUGAUCUUCACGUCUUGUUUCCUUGCGCGAAACUCCAAACAGUCGGAUCAAGCCUCGGACUUGUCUCGUAAUGGGCCAAGCCUCCUGGCCCAAGUCUAGCCGUAAGGGUAUAGGGGUUUAGACCCCCACACCAAGGUAGACUGCCGACUAGCUUUCGUCGAUAGGUUGUCAUCCCGAACAUGAUGUAGAAGUGUUGGUAUUAAAUCUAUAUGCUUUUCUAGGAAUAAGUAAAUAAAGGAUCCGCAAGCGCACAGAUAAUACCGAUGUAGCAUUUUAACCAGGAGUAUUCCAGGUAUCGUUAUUUAUAUUUUUACCACUAGGAAGGGACUUGCAAUGGAUAAUGAGCAAUGAGCACUGCAUGUAAUCAUGGAGACCUUAACCAUGUCUUUAUCUAUCUCUCAUGCAGGGUAACCCCUCUAAAGGCAG
rnacentral:lncRNA from 1 species